CACCAGGUAAAUGGAUUUCAAAUGAGCCAUGCUAUAUCACCAUUAUAAACACAGAUAAACAUGAGGUAGAUGGAUUUCAAAUGAGCCAUGCUAUAUCACCAUUAUAAACACAGAUAAACACCAGGUAAAUGGAUUUCAAAUGAGCCAUGUUAUAUCACCAUUAUAAACACAGAUAAAUACCAGGUAAAUAGAUUUCAAAUGAGCCAUGCUAUAUCACCAUUAUAAACACAGAUAAACACCAGGUAAAUGGAUUUCAAAUGAGCCAUGUUAUAUCACCAUUAUAAACACAGAUAAAUACCAGGUAAAUGGAUUUCAAAUGAGCCAUGCUAUAUCACCAUUAUAAACACAGAUAAAUACCAGGUAAAUGGAUUUCAAAUGAGCCAUGCUAUAUCACCAUUAUAAACACAGAUAAACACCAGGUAAAUAGAUUUCAAAUGAGCCAUGCUAUAUCACCAUUAUAAACACAGAUAAACACCAGGUAAAUGGAUUUCAAAUGAGCCAUGCUAUAUCACCAUUAUAAACACAGAUAAAUACCAGGUACAUGGAUUUCAAAUGAGCCAUGCUAUAUCACCAUUAUAAACACAGAUAAACACCAGGUAAAUGGAUUUCAAAUGAGCCAUGCUAUAUCACCAUUAUAAACACAGAUAAACACCAGGUAAAUGGAUUUCAAAUGAGCCAUGCUAUAUCACCAUUAUAAACACAGAUAAACACCAGGUAAAUGGAUUUCAAAUGAGCCAUGCUAUAUCACCAUUAUAAACACAGAUAAACACCAGGUAAAUGGAUUUCAAAUGAGCCAUGCUAUAUCACCAUUAUAAACACAGAUAAACAUGAGGUAGAUGGAUUUCAAAUGAGCCAUGCUAUAUCACCAUUAUAAACACAGAUAAACACCAGGUAAAUGGAUUUCAAAUGAGCCAUGUUAUAUCACCAUUAUAAACACAGAUAAACACCAGGUAAAUGGAUUUCAAAUGAGCCAUGCUAUAUCACCAUUAUAAACACAGAUAAACACCAGGUAAAUGGAUUUCAAAUGAGCCAUGUUAUAUCACCAUUAUAAACACAGAUAAAUACCAGGUAAAUGGAUUUCAAAUGAGCCAUGCUAUAUCACCAUUAUAAACACAGAUAAAUACCAGGUAAAUGGAUUUCAAAUGAGCCAUGCUAUAUCACCAUUAUAAACACAGAUAAACACCAGGUAAAUAGAUUUCAAAUGAGCCAUGCUAUAUCACCAUUAUAAACACAGAUAAACACCAGGUAAAUGGAUUUCAAAUGAGCCAUGCUAUAUCACCAUUAUAAACACAGAUAAACACCAGGUAAAUGGAUUUCAAAUGAGCCAUGCUAUAUCACCAUUAUAAACACAGAUAAACACCAGGUAAAUGGAUUUCAAAUGAGCCAUGCUAUAUCACCAUUAUAAACACAGAUAAACACCAGGUAAAUGGAUUUCAAAUGAGCCAUGCUAUAUCACCAUUAUAAACACAGAUAAACACCAGGUAAAUGGAUUUCAAAUGAGCCAUGCUAUAUCACCAUUAUAAACACAGAUAAACACCAGGUAAAUGGAUUUCAAAUGAGCCAUGCUAUAUCACCAUUAUAAACACAGAUAAACACCAGGUAAAUGGAUUUCAAAUGAGCCAUGCUAUAUCACCAUUAUAAACACAGAUAAACACCAGGUAAAUGGAUUUCAAAUGAGCCAUGCUAUAUCACCAUUAUAAACACAGAUAAACACCAGGUAAAUAGAUUUCAAAUGAGCUGAACACUGGAAAACAAUAUUUCUGAAUACUAUUUGUAUAAUCUUGACACUUACUACAACAAUAUGUCCAGGCAUAUUGGUCCCCUUUAAUAAGACUAACAGCAGCCAGUGAAGGACUUCCAUCAAUCAGACAGACAGAAGACUAGUGUUCUGACUUCAGCAACCAAAAUAGCACCCUAUUCCCUACGCAGUGUACAGUAUAUUCCCCUUAGUGCUCUGGUCUAAAGUAGUGCACUAUAUAGAGAAUAGGGUGGCAUAGUGCUCUGGUCUAAAGUAGUGCACUAUAUAGGGAAUAGGGUGGCAUAGUGCUCUGGUCUAAAGUAGUGUACAGUAUAUUCCCCUUAGUGCUCUGGUCUAAAGUAGUGCACUAUAUAGGGAAUAGG